UACGUAGGGCGCAAGCGUUAUCCGGAAUUAUUGGGCGUAAAGAGCUCGUAGGCGGUUUGUCGCGUCUGCCGUGAAAGUCCGGGGCUCAACUCCGGAUCUGCGGUGGGUACGGGCAGACUAGAGUGAUGUAGGGGAGACUGGAAUUCCUGGUGUAGCGGUGAAAUGCGCAGAUAUCGGGAGGAACACCGGUGGCGAAGGCGGUUCUCUGGAACGCAACUGACGCUGAGACGCGAAAGCGUGGGGAGCAAACAGG
rnacentral:rRNA from 1 species